UACGAAGGGGGCUAGCGUUGUUCGGAUUUACUGGGCGUAAAGCGCACGUAGGCGGAUCGUUAAGUCGGGGGUGAAAUCCUGGAGCUCAACUCCAGAACUGCCUUCGAUACUGGCGAUCUUGAGUCCGGAAGAGGUGAGUGGAACUCCUAGUGUAGAGGUGGAAUUCGUAGAUAUUAGGAAGAACACAGUGGCGAAGGCGGACUCACUGGUCCGGUACUGACGCUGAGGUGCGAAAGCGAUGGGGAGC
rnacentral:rRNA from 1 species